rnacentral:tRNA from 1 species
GGUUAUAGCUCAGGGGUAGAGCACUUGCCUAGCAUGUGUGAGGCACUGGGUUCAAUUCUCAGCACCA